rnacentral:rRNA from 1 species
AAUGAACGUUGGCGGCGUGGAUUAGGCAUGCAAGUCGAGCGAGAACCAUAGCAAUACGGGGAAAGCGGCGAAAGGGAGUGUAACGCGUAGUUAUGUACCCAGGGGUUCGGAAUAGCCACUGGAAACUGUGGGUAAUGACGAAUAACAUCUCCGUACCAAAGGUGUGAUUCCGCCCUUGGAGCAGACUGCGUCCUACUAGCUAGUUGGCGGGGAAAUGGCACACCAAGGCAACAAUGGGUAGCGGGUGUGAGAGCAUGACCCGUCUCACUGGGACUGAGACGCUGCCCAGACACCUACGGGUGGCUGCAGUCGAGAAUCUUCGGCAAUGGGCGAAAGCCUGACCGAGCGACGCCGCGUGCGGGAUGAAGGCCCUCGGGUUGUAAACCGCUGUCGUAGGGGAGGAAGGCUCCGUGAAGAACGGGGUUUGACCUAUCCUAGGAGGAAGUACGGGCUAAGUUCGUGCCAGCCGCCGCGGUAA